UCUCAAUACAUGCAUACCAUUCUCGCAAAUGUAGGCAAUAAUUCAAACCAAUGUGAGGUUUCAAGACAGCCAAGCGUAAAGAGAAUCUAAUAUGUCCCAAUUAUGGGGAACAGUUUCCAUUAAGCCCGAACCAAUGGAUAAGAAUAAGGAGUACGAAGAGAAACGGUCAAAAAACAACGAAGCAGCAAAGAAGUCAAGAGAAAAUCGUAAAAAUCGCGAGGACGAAAAGGCUCACAGCGUUGCGCGAAAUUUGAAAAUACUGAACCAGUUAAACGAGGAAUUAAAAAAGAAUUCCUUACGUGACCAAUCUACUUCAAAAUAUAUGAAAAAUGACAAGUAUUCAUCAUAUGCAGGAAAUGAUAAAAAUGCCAAAUAUAAUAAAUAAUCUGGAAUUUUGAAACCCGCUGACCCCAAUCACAUAGCAGCAAGAGGAAGCAAGAGAGGGCAGAAAAAAUGGAAAUUGUUUCUAUCUAUCUAUUAUUAUUAUUACUAUUAUUUUAUACAUA